rnacentral:rRNA from 1 species
UGGGGAAUUUUGGACAAUGGGCGAAAGCCUGAUCCAGCAAUGCCGCGUGUGUGAAGAAGGCCUUCGGGUUGUAAAGCACUUUUGUCCGGAAAGAAAUCCUUGGCUCUAAUACAGUCGGGGGAUGACGGUACCGGAAGAAUAAGCACCGGCUAACUACGUGCCAGCAGCCGCGGUAAUACGUAGGGUGCAAGCGUUAAUCGGAAUUACUGGGCGUAAAGCGUGCGCAGGCGGUUUGCUAAGACCGAUGUGAAAUCCCCGGGCUCAACCUGGGAACUGCAUUGGUGACUGGCAGGUUAGAGUAUGGCAGAGGGGGGUANAAUUCCACGUGUAGCAGUGAAAUGCGUAGAGAUGUGGAGGAAUACCGAUGGCGAAGGCAGCCCCCUGGGCCAAUACUGACGCUCAUGCACGAAAGCGUGGGGAGCAAACAGGAUUAGAUACCCUGGUAGUCCACGCCCUAAACGAUGUCAACUAGUUGUUGGGGAUUCAUUUCCUUAGUAACGUAGCUAACGCGUGAAGUUGACCGCCUGGGGAGUACGGUCGCAAGAUUAAAACUUAAAGGAAUUGACGGGGUCAUAGCUGUUUCCU